AUGUUUCACGGUGGCGCCGCCGUGAUCAUUGUCGGGAACCACCAUGAAGCCCUUCCGCUCCGUCGCGCGUGUUCUUCUUGGAACACCCUUUUGAUCUUCGAUUGUGUUUUAAUUUUGUGUUUCGGCUGUUUGUUUGAGAAAAUAGAAAGAGAGAAGCGUGAGUCUCACAGGAAGAAAAGAGAGAAAUCUUUUUUUUCUGAAGUUUUGUUUCAUUUUUUAAUGUGUGAUUGUUUUCUUUGUUUGGGUCUUGGGAUCUUUGAACUCAGCUAA